rnacentral:rRNA from 1 species
AUGCACGCUUGCGGCGUGCCUAAUACAUGCCAGUCGAGCGAACGGACGAGAAGCUUGCUUCUCUGAUGUUAGCGGCGGACGGGUGAGUAACACGUGGAUAACCUACCUAUAAGACUGGGAUAACUUCGGGAAACCGGAGCUAAUACCGGAUAAUAUUUUGAACCGCAUGGUUCAAAAGUGAAAGACGGUCUUGCUGUCACUUAUAGAUGGAUCCGCGCUGCAUUAGCUAGUUGGUAAGGUAACGGCUUACCAAGGCAACGAUGCAUAGCCGACCUGAGAGGGUGAUCGGCCACACUGGAACUGAGACACGGUCCAGACUCCUACGGGAGGCAGCAGUAGGGAAUCUUCCGCAAUGGGCGAAAGCCUGACGGAGCAACGCCGCGUGAGUGAUGAAGGUCUUCGGAUCGUAAAACUCUGUUAUUAGGGAAGAACAUAUGUGUAAGUAACUGUGCACAUCUUGACGGUACCUAAUCAGAAAGCCACGGCUAACUACGUG